GAACCGUCCAAACGUUAUUCGGAAUUAUUGGGCUUAAAGGGUGCGUAGGCGGUGCAGUAAGUUGGGGUGUGAAAUCCCUCGGGCUCAACCGAGGAACUGCGCCCAAUACUGCUACACUCGAGGGAGACAGAGGUAAGCGGAACUGAUGGUGGAGCGGUGAAAUGCGUUGAUAUCAUCAGGAACACCAGUGGCGAAAGCGGCUUACUGGGUCUCUUCUGACGCUGAGGCACGAAAGCUAGGGUAGCGAACGGGAUUAGAUACCCCGGUAGUCCUAGCUGUAAACGAUGAGCACUUGGUCGGAGGUUCCCCGAGAACUUCCGGCCGUAGCGAAAGUGUUAAGUGCUCCGCCUGGGGAGUAUGGUCGCAAAGGCUG
rnacentral:rRNA from 1 species